CGUCAAGAAGGUGCGGCCGACCGGAAAACUAAUAUGUCUUUGGGAGCUGGCGGUUUUCAAGCGAGCCGCUAUUUUUAGCUAUCCCGUCCGGAAAGUCAUUCCACUAAUUUUGUGUUUGCGGUUGAUAAGUAUGAGUCUAUCCAGACGUACGUCGCUCGCAAACGACGUACGCUUCCUACGCUGUUACCAUUUUCAUUUCAUUUUAUUAUAUUCUUAUUAGUCUUUGCGCUCUUGUGUCAUGUGCCUCGAUGUUUUGUGUGUUUGUAUUAUUACAUAGUUUUGUUUUAAUUUUAUUGGCAAGUAAAAUAACCGAGUGUCUAUUAUAUUAAAAUGUUUAUUUAUUUAUUUUCAGCAUCGCCAUUUCGUUAUUGAAUAUUAAGAUAAUUUAUUUUAUUUUUUUUUUUUUCAGGUAAUUGGAGCUUCAAAGUAUCAAAUUUCAUAUAGAAUUUCUAACUAGUUUUUUUUUUAGUUUUUGAAAUCAAUUAUUUAGGUUAGUAUCUUCCAAUUUGGAAGUCAUAUGUAAUUUUUCAAGACUUUACUCAGUGACAAAGAAAUUGCAACACCAAGAAGGAGGUGCUCAAAUUUAAUAUUCUUUUGGUAAAACAUAGAUGUUAUAGCAAGGAGUAAACGAUUAAUAUUUGGUAAUGUUUGGUAAUAAGUUUUCUCAUGUAAACUUAUUUUUUAUCACAAAUAUUUCUCACUGAGUAUAUUAACUAGUUUUUUUUUAUUUUUAUCAUUGGAAUAAUUUUACAUAUAAAUUUACAAUAAAUAAGAUUUUGAAAUAUAAUAACGACCAUUUUUAGUUUUUUUUUAGUUUUAGUAUUAUUUCCUACUAUGCCAGGACCAAACCCCAUUAUUAAAGUGAAUCAUUCUGAAAUUAUAGAUUAAUAAAUCAUAAAUAUUUAUAAUGUAGACACGUGUGGAUUCCAAAGCAACCUAGAGACCAGUGGAUCGUUAGACAUGGUUUGCUAAGAAACUCCAAUCACACUAUUCCCUACAAUAUGGUAAUGUCAUUUAUCAGGCGAAUUAAUAAGCAAGAUGGUUAUAUUGGACCUGCAUGCACUGCGAGAAAGCAUCCAUCAGGAUAUAUCCUUUUUUUGACAAUUAACUUUAAAUAGGCACUACAACAUACAAAUAUGUAACAUUGGUUCUAUGUUUCGGUAUGGUUGCUGCUUCUUGAAUUAUGUCUUGGCACGUUAAAUCUAAAUGCUUCAGAAUAGAAGCGUUUAAUUGGAGAAUAGCAUUGUUUAUUGGUUGUCUUCAUCGUGCAUUGUCAUGAACAACGAUGCGAACGAAAGAUCAACAUUUGGUUCAGAAGUCACUUUAGGAGCGUACAAGAACAACUUACCAGUUAAGAAACCUUCAAUUUAUGACCACAGGGAAACAUUUGUCUAAUCAAAACGUACGAUUUCAUGAAUCCAAUUUACAUUCAAGACUCCCAAAUGUUGUACCUGAAUUAAUCAUAGUACACAGUAGAAUGGAGAAAAACUUUGCUAAUGAACACAUUAACUGGAAUAUGAACCAAUGGAGUCAGCUUCUCUUUACAGAUGAAUCCAGGUUUUGUUUAAGUUCAAAUGACACACGACAAAGAGUGUAUAGACUUGAAGUGAUACCUUUUUUAUAAAAAUAUUAUAAGAAUUUAAUUAUUAUAAUUUGAACAGGUAUAUUAAUAUGAAGUCAGCAUCCACCAGCAAAAUUUCUUUAAUCCUGUGGUCCAUACCCAAAAUAUUGAGAACAUAUGGAUGCGAUGAAAAAUGAGCUCAAUUUGAUUCUACAAACAAAUUUCCCUCAUAUAUGCAUAAAUUUAUUUGGAGAAUUGCAUCAGACAACCAUAUCCUUUAUAUAAAAUAAAUAAAUAUAAUAAAAUUUAAUUGCCUA